AAUACUGCCUGGUAAUGAUGAUU
rnacentral:ncRNA from 2 species